rnacentral:rRNA from 1 species
UGCAGUCGAGGGGCAGCAUUUUAGUUUGCUUGCAACUAAAGAUGGCGACCGGCGCACGGGUGAGUAACACGUAUCCAACCUGCCGAUAACUCGGGGAUAGCCUUUCGAAAGAAAGAUUAAUAUCCGAUGGUAUAUUAAAACCGCAUGGUUUUACUAUUAAAGAAUUUCGGUUAUCGAUGGGGAUGCGUUCCAUUAGUUUGUUGGCGGGGUAACGGCCCACCAAGACUACGAUGGAUAGGGGUUCUGAGAGGAAGGUCCCCCACAUUGGAACUGAGACACGGUCCAAACUCAUACGGGAGGCAGCAGUGAGGAAUAUUGGUCAAUGGACGAGAGUCUGAACCAGCCAAGUAGCGUGAAGGAUGACUGCCCUAUGGGUUGUAAACUUCUUUUAUAUGGGAAUAAAGUAUUCCACGUGUGGGAUUUUGUAUGUACCAUAUGAAUAAGGAUCGGCUAACUCCGUGCCAGCAGCCGCGGUAAUACGGAGGAUCCGAGCGUUAUCCGGAUUUAUUGGGUUUAAAGGGAGCGU